GACGAACGCUGGCGGCGUGCUUAACACAUGCAAGUCGAACGGAAAGGCCCUGCUUUUGUGGGGUGCUCGAGUGGCGAGCGGGUGAGUAACACGUGAGUAACCUGCCCUUGACUUUGGGAUAACUUCAGGAAACUGGGGCUAAUACCGGAUAGGAGCUCCUGCUGCAUGGUGGGGGUUGGAAAGUUUCGGCGGUUGGGGAUGGACUCGCGGCUUAUCAGCUUGUUGGUGGGGUAGUGGCUUACCAAGGCUUUGACGGGUAGCCGGCCUGAGAGGGCGACCGGCCACAUUGGGACUGAGAUACGGCCCAGACUCCUACGGGAGGCAGCAGUGGGGAAUAUUGCACAAUGGGCGGAAGCCUGAUGCAGCAACGCCGCGUGCGGGAUGACGGCCUUCGGGUUGUAAACCGCUUUCGCCUGUGACGAAGCGUGAGUGACGGUAAUGGGUAAAGAAGCACCGGCUAACUACGUG
rnacentral:rRNA from 1 species